rnacentral:rRNA from 1 species
ACGCUCGACACCUACUGGAGGCAGCAGUGGGGAAUAUUGGGCAAUGGGCGAAAGCCUGACCCAGCAACGCCGCGUGAGGGAAGAAGGUUUUCGGAUUGUAAACCUCUGUCCUCAGGGACGAAGGACGUGACGGUACCUGAGGAGGAAGCCCCGGCUAACUACGUCNCNGACGCCGCCGGUAAGUACUCGAGGCGGGCGUGGCGAACGGACGC